CCUACGGGUGGCUGCAGUGGGGAAUAUUGCACAAUGGGGGAAACCCUGAUGCAGCGACGCCGCGUGAGUGAAGAAGUAUUCCGGUAUGUAAAGCUCUAUCAGCAGGGAAGAAAUAAAGUCCUUUGGACUUUGGACGGUACCUGACGAAGAAGCCCCGGCUAACUACGGGCCAGCAGCCGCGGUAAUACGUAGGGGGCAAGCGUUAUCCGGAUUUAUUGGGGGGAAAGGGAGCGUAGGCGGCAGCGCAAGUCUGGAGUGAAAUCCCAUGGCUUAACCAUGGACCUGCUUUGGAAACUGUGCAGCUAGAGUGCAGGAGAGGUAAGCGGAAUUCCUAGUGUAGCGGUGAAAUGCGUAGAUAUUGGGAAGAACACCAGUGGCGAAGGCAGCAUACUGGAGUGUAACUGACGUUGAGGCACGAAAGCGUGGGGAGCGAACAGGAUUAGAUACCCGUGUAGUC
rnacentral:rRNA from 1 species